rnacentral:pre_miRNA from 1 species
UAUAAGGGAUUUUGAGUUUUUGCUUGCAACGUUUGACUACUCGUCUUAUUCAAAAAAUUUUGAAAUUAUUAAUUAUUUUAUUUGUGACUUACUUUAUUAUCCACAGUACUUUAAGCACAACUUUUCGUUUUUUAUAUUUGCAAAAAAAAAAAUAAGACGAGUGAUCAAACGUUGCAAGCAAAAAUUGAAAAUCCCUUAUA